rnacentral:lncRNA from 1 species
GUAAUUAUUAAUAAUAAUAAGUAUUAUAAAAAAGAAUUCAAAUGAAACUCAGAUACAACUCCUAUCCCUUUGUAUAAAAUAAAAUCUUAUGAAAGCAACUCAACUCAUAAACUUAACUCAUAAAUAAGUCUAAUAAUCGCCUGCAACUUCAAAUUGAGUCUUCGAACCUGUGUCACUAAAAGGGUGGAAAAUUUUUGGGGUGAUAACAAACUACACAUUCUCAGUAGGAAAUGGGAAUGCCGUAAAAGUAAUGAAAUAAAAUGGAAAUAUUUAACUUUUCUUUAACUUUCUAAAUUCAAAACAGAUUUCAAUCACAAAAGUAGUCAUUAACCAUCUCUCAACCACAUAAUCAUUUCUCAACCACAACAUUUCACCUCAAUACAUCCGUGAACUAAUAGCACAAGUAAGAGAUCCAAACCAACACACAAACAAGUCACAAUAAGACAAACAGCACAUCCACAGAGAAAUAAUACAAGCAAACACAACCAAAUGCACAUGCACAAACAAUAUGAUGCAUGUUUGUCCUAAACAGACUAUGAGUUCACGUGUCGGUUUACACCCUGCAGCCCGACAUUACCUAGGAACAAGUCCCAGAUAUGUUUUCCCUUUGUGUCUUUAGUGCAUACGUGUCGGUGGUAAGAAUACCACUCCUUUGUGACUACCGGUAGUCAGUGCAAAACUCGACCCCAUAAUAUACGCACAAGGGCAAAUAGUGAUCCUCAGUUCAUGGGUUUCCCCGAGAUCAACAUACAACAAAAUAGAGAUCCUCAGCUCAUGGGUUUCUCCAAGAUCAAUACACAACAAACACGAUCCUCAGUUCAUGGGUUAUUCCCGAGAUCAAUACACAACAAACAACGAUCCUCAGUUCAUGAGUUAUCCCCGAGAUCAAUGAUUAUCAAUUUAUAGGUUUUUCCUGUAUUUAAAACCAUUAAUUAAAACCAAAACCUCUUUCCAUUCUUUAAACUUUCCUUAACUUUCUUAGACAUUCUUUCCCAAAAACCUCAACCACCAAAUCAUAAUUCUUUUCUAUAUAAAUCGAACUUAAAAUAGUAUAAUUCUUUCCUUAAUAAAUUGAACUCAAAAUAGAAUAAAUAAAACUCAACACAAAAUCUAUUCUUUUCAAUAAAUUCAAAAUCAAAUAGCAUAGUUUCCCAAAUCCAAGUUUUUAUAAAAUAACAUUUCAAACAAGACCUCGAAUUUUAUAAAAUUUCAGUAGCACCUUCCCUAAAACUCGGACUUAACCACCCUUACGGGUUCCCUCUUCCUCAAUAAUUCACCAGUCAUUUUCUCAACAAUUAUCAAAAUAGCAAUUCUCAAUAGCCAUCUAAUCAUAAUCCAGUUUAACGACUAAUAUCCUAUCAUCAAUUAAAACCAGAAUUUCCAUAAACCAUUCUUUAAAAGUAAAUCAGUCCAAAUUCAAGAAUUCAUAACUAAUAUUCCAAAAACCAACCUUUCAUAUCUCUAGUUAUUUUAAAGUUAUUUAGUUAUUAGCAAAGUUACUAUUUUGUUCUAAAGAUCAGAUUUCAAGAAAAUAGUUCAGUCAACCUUCAAUCCUUUAACCGUCCUCAAAAUCAAUUCUAGUUAACCAUAAAUCAACAAUAACAACCAUCACAGCACCAUCAAGCAAAUCAGUCGAUAAUAACCAAUUAAGCAUAAUCAGAAAAAAUCAAGAUUCUCUGCAAUUCCAAAACAACCAGAGAACGAAUAUCAAUCACAGCCUCAAACUAAAAUCAUUCUCAUCAAUUAAUCACUCACGACAACAAAAACCAGUCACAAUCACAACCAUAAUCUAAACUCAAUUCAUCAAUUAUCAAAACGUCAGAUUUUCAAUAAUUAACUCAUCAUAUUUCAAUUUAAUAAGUAAUAUCAAAUAAAUCACCAUUCACAGCCAAUUUUAACCAAUUCCAACCCUUUGCAAAUCCAUUUCACAGCCAUUCCAAUAUAUUAAAUUUCCAAUUCAAUAUUAAACAAUUCAAAAUAAUUCAUUCAAGAUCAGAAUCUCAGCCAAUUCAUCGCGAAAAUCAAUAAUUCAAAACACAAUUCACAACCGCAUCUAAUUUCACUUAUAAUUUAAAGUAUUCACAACCGUAUCUAAUUCUAAUUCAUAAUUCGGAAUAAUCACAACAGUAUUCAAUUCUAAUCAUAAUUCACAAUAAUCACAACUAACUAUUCUCAAACACAUUUCAAGCAAUUCACAUCAAUUAAUCAAUUCUUAACCAUUAUUAAGUAUUUGCAAUUAUCCAAUUAACUUUGUAGGCAUUCCAAAUUAAAAAUGUUUUUUAAAAAUAAAUUCCCUACCUCCGAGUGUCGAAAUCCAUAGAAAUUGGGAAUGCUGCACAACUCUAAUAGCAGCCAUAUCAUCUCAAGAUAGUAGCAGCAACAAUUUGGCAUCUCCGAUCGACGGCAGCAGCACUCUGUCAGAUUGCGGCACCCGUUCUGUCCCCUAGGCAGCAACCACAGUGGUUCUGGGCAGCUCCAGUAGCAACCACCAUGGCAUCUUGGCUUCAGCAGCGGUUUCCGAUGGCAACGGCAGCGUGCAGCUCGACGGGAACCUCUGUCUCCAGCAACGACAGCAGCUAUACAAGCCCCUGUCUUCCCUGUCGCGUCUCUCUUCUCUGCGAAAUCCUAUCUCUCUCUUCGUGCUCGUUGGCAGUGGCAGAAGUGGUGGCGACGAACCCUAGCAGUGGCGGCGGCGGACCGGUCGCGGUGGAGGCAGCAGCGCACACCGCAUCUCCUCUCCAGUCUCGGACGCGAGCUCUCUCUCCUCCACCCUUCAUGCUCGACGGCGACUAUGACGGCGAUGACUACGGCCCACUUCGAAGCAGCGACGACGGCGACCUCGUGGCAGCAGAGCGCAACGAGAAUCAGAAUCGACGGCAACUUCUCCUCGACGGCAACGAGCUCGCACCAACGGCUGGACGGCAAUGAGCGUGAAUGACGGUGCAGGCAAGACGCGAUGGGGGGCGGCGAGCUGGACGGCGCCAGCAGCGUGGCUCUUUUCUGAUCGCAGCUCCGUUCCUUCUCUCUUUAGUUCUCUUUUCUUUGUUUCUUUCCUACUGUUGCUGUGUUGUGUUUGAGAAAGGGGAAAACUGAAAAGUGUGUGCGUUUAGCCAAAAAGGGGGUGGGGUGCGGCUGAG